UACAGAGGUCCCGAGCGUUGUUCGGAUUCAUUGGGCGUAAAGGGCGCGUAGGUGGCCCGGUCAGUUCGUGGUGAAAGCGCGGGGCUCAACCCUGCGUCGGCCAUGAAUACUGCCGCGGCUGGAGCACUGUAGAGGCAGGCGGAAUUCCGGGUGUAGCGGUGGAAUGCGUAGAGAUCCGGAAGAACACCGGUGGCGAAGGCGGCCUGCUGGGCAGUUGCUGACACUGAGGCGCGACAGCGUGGGGAGCAAACAGG
rnacentral:rRNA from 1 species